CUGUUGUAAUUUAGUCAUCCACAGUCUGAUAUGAUAUUUCGGAAUAAUAUUCCUUCUUCGGAUAUUCUUAGAUGAACGAUGCCAGCGCCGCCUGACUGGCUUCCGUG